GUAACGGGCAGGCGAAAUUACGUGAAAGAAAUAACCUCUUGGUGGAGUCCCCCGAAGGACAGAAUAGCACUACUUAGUGAGACGGAGCGAAGAGCCCGUUGCGCGUUGUUUUUGUUUGACCGGCCUAUCUUCUUUCUAUUUCCUCCGGCCGUCCAGGGACUGGACGGCUCUCGGUUCAUGAGCAUGUUGGGAGAUUAGGCGGUAGUUGAAAGAGCUGCUCGAAAGCUUGACGAACAAGCGAAAAAAGCCCUAACAUAUUAGUAAGGGGCUUUUCCCUUACUAGUAAAGUGGUAAGGUAGGGCGCUGUUCGAUGAAGAAAACAGACUUUAGGAA
rnacentral:lncRNA from 1 species